rnacentral:piRNA from 1 species
UCCACGAUCACUCCAAAGCAGUCAUGGU